rnacentral:rRNA from 1 species
GAUGAACGCUGGCGGCGUGCUUAACACAUGCAAGUCGAACGAAGCACUUUAUUUGAUUUCCUUCGGGACUGAUUAUUUUGUGACUGAGUGGCGGACGGGUGAGUAACGCGUGGGUAACCUGCCUUGUACAGGGGGAUAACAGUUGGAAACGGCUGCUAAUACCGCAUAAGCGCACGGCAUCGCAUGAUGCAGUGUGAAAAACUCCGGUGGUAUAAGAUGGACCCGCGUUGGAUUAGCUAGUUGGUGAGGUAACGGCCCACCAAGGCGACGAUCCAUAGCCGACCUGGGAGGGGGACCGGCACAAUUGGGAUUGGGCCCCGGCCCAAACUCCACGGGGGGGCGGCAGUGGGGAAAAUUGAAAAAGGGGCGAAAGCCUGAUGCGGCGACGCCGGGGGGGCGAAAAAUUUUUUCGGUAUGUAAAGCUCUUUCAGCAGGGAAGAUAAGGCCGGUACCUGACAAAGAACCCCCGGCAAAAUCCGU